CUUAGGCUGCCAGUCCACCAAAUCGGAGUGAGCUAGCGGAGCAGUGUGCGAAGCUAUAAUCGUGCAAUUGAAUUGCAUGAGCAGAGUUUUUAUGCAAUUUCGUUGGUUGAUUUCACUUUGCACACCGCUCUGCUAGCCCACUCCGCUCUGGUGGACAGGCAGCCUUAU
rnacentral:pre_miRNA from 1 species